GUAUAGUGGCUGCGCUUGGUAUUACACUUCAGGACCAUUCACUUGAAUGCGACUGAGCUGGGCCUAGGCCAUGUGACUGAACGUGACAUCACAUGGCCUAGGCAAAGAUAAGAGAAGGCUGCAACGCUACUGCGAGUGCCUUGUCUUCUGAAACAGCUGAUCGGUGGGG